CUUUAAAUAAGCUAAAUUAAGCUAUCGGGCUCAUAACCCGAAUAUGGUAUACCUUUAAAGA
rnacentral:tRNA from 1 species